rnacentral:tRNA from 1 species
CCUCGCGUGGUGAAAAACAUAUCAUGCCGCGCUUCGAACGCGACGUUGCGGGUGGGAGUCCCGCCGCGAGGUCCA